UGGAGUCCCCAGAGAUGACUACCGGAACGUUCGGUAGAGAUUCUUAGAGCUUGGCUCUUUGAACAUUUUCUUCACCCGUACCCCACAGACACAGAUAAGCACAUGUUGGCCAUUCAAACUGGUCUAUCUCGAAAUCAGGUAUCUAACUGGUUCAUAAAUUCACGAGUCCGG